rnacentral:rRNA from 1 species
GGGUUGUGAGGUUAAGCGACUAAGCGUACACGGUGGAUGCCCUGGCAGUCAGAGGCGAUGAAGGGCGUGCUAAUCUGCGAUAAGCGCCGGUAAGGUGAUAUGAACCGUUAUAACCGGCGAUAUCCGAAUGGGGAAACCCAGUGUGACUCGUCACACUAUCAUUAACUGAA